UUUGACCUACGGGGGGCAGCAGUGAGGAAUAUUGGUCAAUGGCCGGAAGGCUGAACCAGCCAAGUCGCGUGAGGGAAUAAGGCCCUAUGGGUCGUAAACCUCUUUUGUCAGGGAGCAAAGGCGUCCACGAGUGGACGAAAGGAGAGUACCUGAAGAAAAAGCAUCGGCUAACUCCGUGCCAGCAGCCGCGGUAAUACGUAGGGGGCAAGCGUUAUCCGGAUUUACUGGGUGUAAAGGGAGCGUAGACGGCUGUGCAAGUCUGAAGUGAAAGCCCGUGGCUCAACCGCGGAACUGCUUUGGAAACU
rnacentral:rRNA from 1 species